GGCUGCAGCAUGCACCGGGCUUCAAAAGCCAGCUGACAUGGGAACCACUGCAUCACACACUGUUUCAUUGCAUCGGGAUGCGCUUUUCCUACUUGGCCAACAUGUGCUGCCAAGAGCCAGCAGGACUGCAAGCGCAGCAGCUGGGAAGUGCUGCAAGGAAAGAGGUCGCUCCGCAGGCUUCUGUUACUGACACAAGGGAAAAGCUGGAGCGGGCAGAGAGGAGCAUGAAGAAGUACAGGGCCCAGAGGGAGGAAGAGAUACAGUAGCAUUUAGGGAUGGCAGUCUCCAUGGACAUGGGUAAUGUCUGUGUGUUGAAUUCCCUGUGCCAAGUAUUUCUGUGUUUUAUGACUGCUUUGAUGCAAACCUGUAUUUUCUCUAAUAAUGAAGAUUAUGGAGGCUGAUGUUGCAGAGGUGACACUGUGUUCAGCUCAGCAAGGUAUGAAAAAUGAUAGAAGGCAGUUCUUC